rnacentral:rRNA from 1 species
CGUUCGGUCUCCGUUGGUGACAGCGGAGGGACAUU